GGAAAUGUGUCUGACAAAAGAGUUACUUUGAUAGAGGAAAUAAUAGAGGUUUGAAUCCUCUUAUUUCUA
rnacentral:tRNA from 1 species